UAUUCAAUUUCUCUUUCUCACGUUCUCUCACCGGUUCAAUUCUUUCAUUUGUUUCUAUUCAUUUCAGUGGCCGUACCAUUCUGUUCGUUUACACCCACAGGGGAGAGACCUCUGCGCUUCAAAUGAUAUCAAUUCUUUUUUCGGAUUCCUCCAUUGUUGCACCAUUGAUCAGGUUGUAUAUAUAUACACAUGUAUAUCCUUUCUUCCGUUUUGUUUUAUUACUUCACACACUUUCAACUAUUUGCUUCAAAUUAUUCCAUUUAUUAAGUUCUAUGCGCUCAUCGACGAUUGCAGUUCUUUGCCGUUUGAUAUCAAUCCAGCGGUCAGUUUUCUUUAUCAAUCAAGUUAAUCAAGUUGUUUUCCGUUUAGACUACUAAUCAUGCGCUCAUCCCAAGUUGCAGUCACGUCAGUUAACAGGGGAUUUAAAUACUUAUUUGCAUAAUACCCUUAGACUGAACGAAUGCCCUCUUCCAUGUUUUUUAUGAUGUUCUUCUCGAUAUAAGCAAUUGCUUUUCUGUGUGAUGUAAUCUGCGGUUGAAGUUUCAGAAGGUUUGUUUGAAACGCUUAAUUGGAUCAUGUCUGACUUAUUAUUUUAUUUUCUUUUACUCUGAAUUUACCUUUUAUUUAAAGUCACUCAAGAAAAGAAGGUGCUAGAGGUGCAUGUCGAGAAAGGGAUGCAACAGGAUCGCAAGAUUGUGCUUGAAAGGCAAGCUGAUCAAGCUCCUGGCACAAUUGCAGGAGACAUUGGUUUCAUCCGACAAGUAAAGGAGCACCCCAAGUUCAGGAGGAAGCACUUUGUGGUUUCCAGUUUGUCAUUACCCAUGCGGAUGGGAGGCAACUCCUGAUGAAAUCAAACCCAGGGGAAGCCGUCAAGCCAGAUUUCUCUCCACUUGCAGGCAUUUUCAGCUACAGGAAUUUGGCUCAAAUCAUGUUUAAGUGCCGGAAUGUAGUGUGUGAACUUUGUGGCACCUGACCUGUUUGAUGAAAAUGGAAACCCAAGUUGCAGCCUGCUAUUUGACCUUUCUCAAAAAAUUAUCUUGCUGAUGGGAAGCCUAUGUUUUCUGAAUCUGGUGAACUGGUAUGUAUAUCGCUUCCUUCAUCUUCAUAGAAAUAGUCAUCUGAAAAUACAAUGUAUUUUUGCAUGUGUUUUCCUCUGUAUGAAGGCCGCUGUUUCUACUGAGUCAGAAGUAAGUCGACAAGUCUUUCCCGACAGAAUAAUUUUGUUGAUCUUUACAAGUAAUGAGAAAAAAUGUAACUUCUGUCAAAUGAUAGUUUUUAUCCAAAAUGGAGGGGCAGCAGAUUUUGCAGAACACAGAUGAGUUAAAAGAAGAUUAAAUAAAUGCAUGUAGUGCAAAUCUGUUCUCCUUAGGAAUGGAGAGUUCUCAAGUGACAUGGUAUGAAAUCACAGUGCUUUUUCAAUAUUACUUCCAUGAAUGAAUUAGUUUUCUGAAAGGUUUAAAGGAGUUGGUUACAUUUGGCAGGGAUUUUAUGGA